CUAGGAUAAUUACAAUUCCUACUCCAAAUAGUAUUUAAAUUUAUAUUUAGUUUAUCUCUAAAAAAGUUAAAUAUUAAUUAGAGUAUAAAUUUAACUAUAUUAGGAUAAAUAUUUAUAUUUAUUGUAUAAUUCCUAAACAUCACUUUCCUUUCCAUAUAUAAAUUUAGAUGAAGAGACAAACAGAGAAAAAAUUUUUUUGAGAGAUAGGUAGCACGUUACCCGCUUCAUUUAUUUUAUUUAGAAAUAAACUUAGCUGAAAAUGAGAAUCAACUGGGAUUGGAACUUGGGUCUCGGCUAUGAACCACCAACCCCUUUG
rnacentral:lncRNA from 1 species